ACAGAUUCUCUCUGAAUCUAACCAUGUGUGAACUGUCUCUUUAAUCAUGGGUGUGGUAAAGUUGGUGCGGAAGGCGUCAUUUUGUGGUAAAACACUUGGUGGCGAACGAAUAGUGUCCAUUACCGCCAAUCAAACCCAACCAUGAUUAUCCAACCAUUUAACUUUAUGACUGAAUAAAAAACAAACCUAGAAAACUUUUAGCAAUGGAUCUCUAGGCUCUUGCAACGAUGAAGAACGCAGCGAAUUGCGAAAAGUAAUGUGAAUUGCUGAAUUCGUGAAUCAUCAAAUCUUUGAACGCACAUUGUACUGCUUGGAGUUCCAGGCAGUAUGUCUGUUUGAGUAUCUGUAAAAUCAAAUCAAGGAUUUAUUCUUGGACUUGGUGGGAUGUCUUUUUAGGAGGACACUCACUUGAAUGUAUUUCAUUGCCUCAUUGUCAUUGAUGAGGUGUUGACUUGGAGUAAUAUCCAUGAGUUGGCGAGGCCAGAGUUACGACUUUUGAUUCGAACCAACCCAUGAAUGCUAGUCUAAGUCACGUUACAAUAAAGAUCUCAAAUCAGACAAGACUACCCGCUGAACUUAAGCAUAUCAAUAAGCGGAGGACGUAGCCUUGGUCAUUUAGAGGAAGUAAAAGUCGUAACAAGGUUUCCGUAGGUGAACCUGCGGAAGGAUCAUUACCUAGAGUUGUAGGCUUUGCCUGCUAUCUCUUACCCAUGUCUUUUGAGUACCUUCGUUUCCUCGGCGGGUCCGCCCGCCGAUUGGACAAUUUAAACCAUUUGCAGUUGCAAUCAGCGUCUGAAAAAACUUAAUAGUUA
rnacentral:misc_RNA from 1 species